GUGGGGAAUCUUGCACAAUGGGGGCAACCCUGAUGCAGCGACGCCGCGUGAGCGAUGAAGCCCUUCGGGGUGUAAAGCUCUUUCGGCAGGGAAGAUUAUGACGGUACCUGCAGAAGCAGCUGCGGCUAACUACGUGCCAGCAGCCGCGGUAAUACGUAGGCAGCAAGCGUUGUUCGGAGUUACUGGGCGUAAAGGGUGUGUAGGCGGCCUUCUAAGUUUGGUGUGAAAUCUCCCGGCUCAACCGGGAGGGUGCGCCGAAGACUGGGGGGCUAGAGUGCGGGAUGGGAGAGUAGAAUUCCUGGUGUAGCGGUGAAAUGCGUAGAUAUCAGGAGGAAUACCUGUGGUGUAGACGGCUCUCUGGACCGCAACUGACGCUGAGACACGAAAGCGUGGGUAGCAAACAGGAUUAGAUACCCGUGUAGUCC
rnacentral:rRNA from 1 species